rnacentral:misc_RNA from 1 species
GAUGAAGAACGCAGCGAAAUGCGAUAAGUAAUGUGAAUUGCAGAAUUCAGUGAAUCAUCGAAUCUUUGAACGCACAUUGCGCCCGCCAGUAUUCUGGCGGGCAUGCCUGUUCGAGCGUCAUUUCAACCAUCAAGCCCCCGGCUUGUGUUGGGGACCUGCGGCUGCCGCAGGCCCUGAAAACCAGUGGCGGGCUCGCUAGUCACUCCGAGCGAAGUAAUACAUCUCGCUCAGGGCGUGCUGCGGGUUCCGGCCGUUAAAAGCCUUAUUUUACCCAAGGUUGACCUCGGAUCAGGUAGGAAGACCCGCUGAACUUAAGCAUAUCAAUAAGCGGAGGA